GUCCAGCUAACGAGUCCGAAAUAGGACGAAACAUUCUGUUCUGGAU
rfam:Schistosoma mansoni strain Puerto Rico chromosome 3, complete genome